rnacentral:misc_RNA from 1 species
UUUCACUUUUUUCUUGUUUGAAUUGCAAAUCUAUUGCAUCAAAGCCCAAAGGGUUUGUGCAGCUGAUAAAAAGGCCUAAGGCCUGAUUACAAAGAAAGCCCAACCCAAAGAAGAACCUCUUAGAGUUUAGAACCCAAUCCAGCCAAACCUUAACCCUUGAAAACUAAGGAACCAAAACCAGAAUUCCUCACCCUUGUGCAGUGUCGCCACCAACAGGAUCAACUGGAAGGGAUGGUCAGAAAAGAAAAUUUUCUUCUAUCAAAGCCUUGCUAACUCUUGCAUGACCUCCCAAGGACAAGAAAGAAACCCAUUAACCAAAGAAAGGGCAUCUCCUUAGACAUAACUGCCAAGCUUAGAACCAACCAUCAACUGAGGAGGAAAGAGGGCAGAGGUCAUCGCAUUCUAGCCAUGAGAAAAUCAGCAACAGACAUUUCAAACGUUGAGUAUAGAUCCUCAAGUUGCCUUCCUUGGAACACACUCCCAUGUUAAAUGUCUGCUCUUCCCAUUAACACUUAACACAAUCGACAUCAAGAAGAACAUAACCAUGUCAUACAUGGAUCCUUCAACCAACAACCGCACCACAGGACAAAUAAAAUCUUCUCCAAAUUACACAUCCUACAAAUCAAAACCAAACUCAAAACUAAUUACAACCUCACCCAGUGAUGAGGAUGAAAACCCAUACCCUAAGGAAGAGAAGGAAGCCUUCCCCUACUCGAAAGGCAAGGGACAUCUCAAACAUAUCCAAGAACAACUAGGUUUAGAUAACCCAAAAAGACGAAACAUGAGAGAGAGAAA